UACGAAGGGGGCUAGCGUUGCUCGGAAUCACUGGGCGUAAAGCGCACGUAGGCGGGUCGUUAAGUCAGGGGUGAAAUCCUGGAGCUCAACUCCAGAACUGCCCUUGAUACUGGCGAGCUUGAGUCCGGGAGAGGUGAGUGGAACUCCGAGUGUAGAGGUGAAAUUCGUAGAUAUUCGGAAGAACACCAGUGGCGAAGGCGGCUCACUGGCCCGGUACUGACGCUGAGGUGCGAAAGCGUGGGGAGCAAACAGG
rnacentral:rRNA from 1 species